UAUAAGUUAUACGACUGACGGAAGUGGAAUAAACCACAUGAAGUAUGACAAAUUAAUAAGCCGACCGUCUGGGCAAAAGUC
rnacentral:ncRNA from 2 species